GAAUCUUCCGCAAUGGACGAAAGUCUGACGGAGCAACGCCGCGUGAGUGAAGAAGGUUUUCGGAUCGUAAAGCUCUGUUGUCAGGGAAGAACAAGUACCAAAGUAACUGUUGGUACCUUGACGGUACCUGACCAGAAAGCCAUGGCUAACUACGUGCCAGCAGCCGCGGUAAUACGUAGGUGGCAAGCGUUGUCCGGAAUUAUUGGGCGUAAAGCGCGCGCAGGCGGCUUCUUAAGUCUGAUGUGAAAGCCCACGGCUCAACCGUGGAGGGUCAUUGGAAACUGGGAGGCUUGAGUGCAGAAGAGGAGAGCGGAAUUCCACGUGUAGCGGUGAAAUGCGUAGAGAUGUGGAGGAACACCAGUGGCGAAGGCGGCUCUCUGGUCUGUAACUGACGCUGAGGCGCGAAAGCGUGGGGAGCGAA
rnacentral:rRNA from 1 species